UCGACAAGAUAUACACUUAGAUUUUAUUCAGAACUACAUUAUAUAAUAUAACGUAUAUACAAACCUAUAUAAACGUGUGUGCCGUGUGAGAACUGAGUCAAAUCCUGACAUAACACAUGUGGACAUUUUCGAAACAAACGAAUCGCACGUGUUUAUUUGGUAUCUCUAUGAUUUGACCUACAACGGACCCUAUUCCUACAGUAAUAAAGUAAAAACCUGUGUCUUUUAUGAAAUAUGUAUUGCGUUUCGACCACCCUUGGACUUUUUGUCCAGUACCUAUA